rnacentral:rRNA from 1 species
UACGAACGCUGGCGGCGUGCUUAACACAUGCAAGUCGAACGGAAAGGCCCUGCUUUUGUGGGGUGCUCGAGUGGCGAACGGGUGAGUAACACGUGAGUAACCUGCCCUUGACUUUGGGAUAACUUCAUGAAACUGGGGCUAAUACCGGAUAGGAGCUCCUGCUGCAUGGUGGGGGUUGGAAAGUUUCGGCGGUUGGGGAUGGACUCGCGGCUUAUCAGCUUGUUGGUGGGGUAGUGGCUUACCAAGGCUUUGACGGGUAGCCGGCCUGAGAGGGUGACCGGCCACAUUGGGACUGAGAUACGGCCCAGACUCCUACGGGAGGCAGCAGUGGGGAAUAUUGCACAAUGGGCGGAAGCCUGAUGCAGCAACGCCGCGUGCGGGAUGACGGCCUUCGGGUUGUAAACCGCUUUCGCCUGUGACGAAGCGUGAGUGACGGUAAUGGGUAAAGAAGCACCGGCUAACUACGUG